rnacentral:tRNA from 1 species
UUAAGGSAUGCGACUGUUAAUCGCAAGAUCGUGAGUUCGAUCCUCAC